rnacentral:rRNA from 1 species
GGCGGCGUGCCUAACACAUGCAAGUCGAACGGAGAUUUACGUCAACCAAAGCUCUUCACGUAAGAGUAAUGUGAGGGUUUUGAGUUGAUGUAAAAUCUUAGUGGCGAACGGGUGAGUAACGCGUGAGCAACCUACCAAGGAGAGGGGGAUAACACAGAGAAAUCUGUGCUAAUACCGCAUAAAGUCACGAUAUCGCAUGGUAUGGUGAUGAAAGGGCUUUUGCCUGCUUCUUGAUGGGCUCGCGUCUGAUUAGCUAGUUGGUAGGGUAAUGGCCUACCAAGGCGAUGAUCAGUAGCCGGGCUGAGAGGUUGACCGGCCACAUUGGGACUGAGACACGGCCCAGACUCCUACGGGAGGCAGCAGUGGGGAAUAUUGCGCAAUGGGGGGAACCCUGACGCAGCGACGCCGCGUGAAGGAAGAAGGUCUUCGGAUUGUAAACUUUUGUCUUUGGUGACGAUAAUGACGGUAGCCAAGGAGGAAGCCACGGCUAACUACGUG